rnacentral:lncRNA from 1 species
CUCAGUCUCUGUGUGUGUGUGUGUGUGUGUGUGUGUGUGUGUGUGUGUGUGUGUGUGUGUGUGUGUGUGUGUGUGUGUGUGUGUGGGAAGGGGCGUUCAAAACUGCAAAUCACAGACUGUGACUGCACGGCUGUUGUUGCAAUGGGCGUGGGCAUUGUUUCUUUUUUCUUCCAUGGAUCCUCCCGGUGUACAGGAUGUAUUCUUCGCCUCGCAGCUGCGUGUGAGCAUCGACACCUGCAAGAAAACGACGAAUUACGGAUGAAGAAAACACUGUCGGCUUUUGUUCACCCAGACUGAACGUUUGACACUCGAACGCAUCCCUUGCGAUAGAUACUUCCGACAAAAUGCCAUAAUAUAAAUAAACAGACUUCUCUAUUUGUAUCUAAAGCCUCAACUAGGCUGUUGACUUUUCUUUCAUGAGCUUCUUAUGGCUUUUAUCUGCGGGGCAUAAUUUAGGACAAUAGUGAGGUAAUCACAGCUGGUUCAAGUCAGAAAUGGCAGUGAGCACAUCGGAGCCGCUCUGUCAGCCGUGCGACUACCAUGAAGCUUUUAGAGUGGAGCUACAGGUGAAGAGACCUCUGAUGCCUGUCCAGCUGAGUCCAGAGCAGGUGGGCCUGGAGAUGUUGUGUCUCUGCGGGCAGCUGGACCUCCUCAUCAGGGCACAGAUGCAGCAGUUCCAGGAGCAGUUAGGACAAGGCUGCAGCCCAGAGGAGUCAGACACUUUCCAGGCUCAAGGAUCAGAGAUUCUCGACCAGAUGCUGCAGUGCCUUGAACAUCUACCAAAGCCUAUGCCUGAGCUGGAGGACUACCUGGACAUGAUGGGUCUGUCUGUGAUGUUUCCUCGUGUAGAGGUGUUCCUCAUUCAAGGCAGCCCAGUGGACAUGCUGGAGAGGCCGCCAAUGGACGAAUACUUCUUCCACAUCGCCAAACUGAACCAGCUGCUGGUGCUGAGUCAACAGCUAGAGGAAGAUAUCAGACACCUUGGAAGUCAUAAAUACAUUGCCCACCAGCUCUCGGUUAUAUAUCAAGUCCUCAGCUCUUUCAGAGGAAUUCAGGCUUUCUCUGAAAUGAAGAAAGACAUUGAGGCUAACUUCAAACAGAUGAAACAGUCUCUGGUGGUAGAUGAAGGCUCCAGGCUUGAACCUCAGCUGGCUGCUCAUUACAUCAACUGGAUAUUAGAACUAACUCGAAGCUUAACAUCAGUGGUGUUGACGCUACCGGAGGAGCUGACAGAAGACCUUCACCAGGCCGUGAGCUUCAUGUCACAGUUCCUGUCCUGACUCCCCCCGACCAUCUAUGAAUCCCGACGUUCUGCGGCACCAGGUCUCUCCCGGAGCUUCUAAAUGAACUAAUGUUGCUGUGAAAAGGUGCUACACAAUUUGAUUCAACUGAUAAAAGUGGGAUCGGAUAGCCUACUUCAAUUACAAAUCAUGUAGAUUUCCUUUUUUAUUGUCCUCCUGAAUAUGGUCCGUAUUAGUCCCUAUGAUGAGUCAGUUGUUUGGAAAUGAAUGUAAGCUUGUUGAAUCCCUCUUUGCACUACUGUUACAACUACUGUUAUCAUUCAUUUCUUUCUUUUCUGUUUUUUAACCUAAAAUGGAAUAAUAAAAUUAAAUGCAAUAGGGAAAUGUGUUUGCUUUCUCCCUGGAUAGACCCUCUAAGGCAGACAUUUCCACUUGUCAUGGCAGGUAAAGCACAGGUGUAACUAGCAAAGACUCCUCUGCCCUCACUAUGCGUGCAGGUGCACAGUUAUGCAGCGAGUCAAACACACUUCCAAUAAAGGUUGAUGGCAUUGUAAAAAUAAAUUGUUAACCCUCAUAAAAACGAAGAAUCAUUACUGAAAGAUCAACAUUACAGCCUUUAUUCUAAUCCAGCUAUGAGAAAUGGAUUCCUACAUGAACACAAGAUUUUCUGCCAAAGAAACAACAGUUUUCUACAUUUGACAUGAGAGAUUUUCUGUAUUUGUGUUUUUGUCUGAGAUGCUGGUUUGAAGUGGGCGGGACUCUGGUGGAAAAAGGUGAUGUCAUGAUGUCAGGGCUUUUGGGUCCCUGGAGGAACCAGCUAAUGCCUCUUUUGCUUGGUUGGUGAUUAAACCCAGCCACUAUGUUUACCAAAACAUAAACUGAAGUGCACAUCAGAUGCUUGUACUUUGUCUGCUUCUUAUUGUCAUUGUUAUAUAUUAAAUGAUGUAGGUGUUCUUUUUAAA